rnacentral:rRNA from 1 species
UACGUAGGUGGCAAGCGUUGUCCGGAUUUAUUGGGUUUAAAGGGUGCGUAGGCGGUUUCAUAAGUCAGUGGUGAAAUACGGCAGCUCAACUGUCGAGGUGCCAUUGAUACUGUGAGACUUGAGUACAGACGAGGUAGGCGGAAUUGACGGUGUAGCGGUGAAAUGCUUAGAUAUCGUCAAGAACACCGAUAGCGAAGGCAGCUUACUAGGCUGUAACUGACGCUGAGGUGCGAAAGCGUGGGGAGCAAACAGG